rnacentral:rRNA from 1 species
GAUGAACGCUGGCGGCGUGCCUAAUACAUGCAAGUCGAGCGAACAGACGAGGAGCUUGCUCCUUUGACGUUAGCGGCGGACGGGUGAGUAACACGUGGGUAACCUACCUAUAAGACUGGGAUACUUCGGGAAACCGGAGCUAAAACCGGAUAAAAUUUCGAACCCCCUGGUUCGAUAGUGAAAGAUGGCUUUGCUAUCACCUAUAGAUGGACCUGCGCCGUAUUAGCUAGUUGGUAAGGUAACGGCUUACCAAGGCAACGAUACGUAGCCGACCUGAGAGGGUGAUCGGCCACACUGGAACUGAGACACGGUCCAGACUCCUACGGGAGGCAGCAGUAGGGAAUCUUCCGCAAUGGGCGAAAGCCUGACGGAGCAACGCCGCGUGAGUGAUGAAGGUCUUCGGAUCGUAAAACUCUGUUAUUAGGGAAGAACAAACGUGUAAGUAACUGUGCACGUCUUGACGGUACCUAAUCAGAAAGCCACGGCUAACUACGUG